UGGGGAAUAUUGGACAAUGGGCGAAAGCCUGAUCCAGCCAUGCCGCGUGUGUGAAGAAGGUCUUCGGAUUGUAAAGCACUUUAAGUUGGGAGGAAGGGCAGUAAGCGAAUACCUUGCUGUUUUGACGUUACCGACAGAAUAAGCACCGGCUAACUCUGUGCCAGCAGCCGCGGUAAUACAGAGGGUGCAAGCGUUAAUCGGAAUUACUGGGUGUAAAGCGCGCGUAGGUGGUUCGUUAAGUUGAAUGUGAAAGCCCCGGGCUCAACCUGGGAACUGCAUCCAAAACUGGCGAGCUAGAGUAGGGCAGAGGGUGGUGGAAUUUCCUGUGUAGCGGUGAAAUGCGUAGAUAUAGGAAGGAACACCAGUGGCGAAGGCGACCACCUGGGCUCAUACUGACACUGAGGUGCGAAAGCGUGGGGAGCAAACAGG
rnacentral:rRNA from 1 species